rnacentral:rRNA from 1 species
UACAGAGGGUGCAAGCGUUAAUCGGAUUUACUGGGCGUAAAGCGUGCGUAGGUGGCUAUUUAAGUCGGAUGUGAAAGCCCUGGGCUUAACCUGGGAACUGCAUUCGAUACUGGGUAGCUAGAGAUCGGUAGAGGGCGGCGGAAUUCCGGGUGUAGCGGUGAAAUGCGUAGAUAUCCGGAGGAACACCGAUGGCGAAGGCAACCGCCUGGGCCUGAUCUGACACUGAGGCACGAAAGCGUGGGGAGCAAACAGGAUUAGAUACCCUGGUAGUCCACGCUGUAAACGAUGAGAACUUGACGUCCGCUUGCUCUGCGAGUGGGUGUCGAAGCUAACGCGCUAAGUUCUCCGCCUGGGGAGUACGGCCGCAAGGUUGAA